CAGUCGCCACGGUAACACGAAGGGGGCUAGCGUUGUUCGGAUUUACUGGGCGUAAAGGGCGCGUAGGCGGACUGAUAAGUCAGGGGUGAAAUCCCAAGGCUCAACCUUGGAACUGCCUUUGAUACUGUUUGUCUUGAGUUCGAGAGAGGUAAGUGGAACUGCGAGUGUAGAGGUGAAAUUCGUAGAUAUUCGCAAGAACACCAGUGGCGAAGGCGGCUUACUGGCUCGAUACUGACGCUGAGGCGCGAAAGCGUGGGGAGCAAACAGGAUUAGAUACCCCAGUAGUCCCUGUCUCUUAUAC
rnacentral:rRNA from 1 species